rnacentral:rRNA from 1 species
AUUGAACGCUGGCGGCAUGCCUUACACAUGCAAGUCGAACGGUAACAGGUCUUCGGAUGCUGACGAGUGGCGAACGGGUGAGUAAUACAUCGGAACGUGCCUAGUAGUGGGGGAUAACUACUCGAAAGAGUGGCUAAUACCGCAUGAGAUCUACGGAUGAAAGCAGGGGAUCGCAAGACCUUGUGCUACUAGAGCGGCCGAUGGCAGAUUAGGUAGUUGGUGGGAUAAAAGCUUACCAAGCCGACGAUCUGUAGCUGGUCUGAGAGGACGAUCAGCCACACUGGGACGGAGACAAGGCCCAGAGUCCUACGGGAGGCAGAAGUGGGGAAUUUUGGACAAUGGGCGCAAGCCUGAUCCAGCAAUGCCGCGUGCAGGAUGAAGGCCUUCGGGUUGUAAACUGCUUUUGUACGGAACGAAAAGCCCUGGGUUAAUACCCUGGGGUCAUGACGGUACCGUAAGAAUAAGCACCGGCUAACUACGUGCCAGCAGCCGCCGUAACAC